rnacentral:rRNA from 1 species
GAAACCGCGAGGUGGAGCAAAACUAUAAAAGACGAUCUCAGUUCGGACUGCAGGCUGCAACUCGCCUGCACGAAGUUGGAAUUGCUAGUAAUCGUGGAUCAGCAUGCCACGGUGAAUACGUUCCCGGGUCUUGUACACACCGCCCGUCACACCAUGGGAGCCGGUAAUACCCGAAGUCAGUAGUCUAACCGCAGGGAGGACGCUGCCGAAGGUAGGAUUGGCGACUGGGGUGAAGUCGUAACAAGGUAGC